rnacentral:rRNA from 1 species
GCUAGCUUAACCGCCCAAUAACUAAACAAUAUAAAUAAAAUAAAAUAAACCCACACCAAAAACUAAACCAUUCUUUUACCUGAGUAUGGGAGACAGAAAAGGUUCUACUUAAAGCAAUAGAGGCAGUACCGCAAGGGAAAGCUGAAAGAGAAAUGAAACAAUUCACAUAAGCAUUAAAAAGCAAAGAUUAAAUCUUGUACCUUUUGCAUCAUGAUUUAGCCAGUACACCCAAGCAAAGAGACCUUUAGUUUGAAACCCCGAAACCAAGUGAGCUACCCCGAGACAGCCUAUUAAGGGCCAACCCGUCUCUGUGGCAAAAGAGUGGGAAGAGCUCCGGGUAGAAGUGACAAGCCUACCGAACUUGGUGAUAGCUGGUUGCCUAAGAAAUGAAUAGAAGUUCAGCCUCGUGCCCUCUCUAAUCAAAACAUACAAACAAGACGCUUAAGAGAGACACACGAGAGUCAGUUAAAGGGGGUACAGCCCCUUUAACAAAGGACACAACCUUUCCAGGAGGAUAAGGAUCAUAAUACAUAAAAUAUACUGUUCUAGUGGGCCUAAAAGCAGCCACCUAAACAGAAAGCGUUAAAGCUCAGACAGAAAGAAGUUUAUUAUUCUGAUAAAAAAUCUUACUCCCCUAAAUACUAUUAGGCCAACCCAUGCCUACAUGGGAAAGACUAUGCUAAAAUGAGUAACAAGAAGGCCCGCCCUUCUCCAAGCACAAGUGUAAGCUAAACCGGACCAACCACUAGCAACUAACGAACUCAACCCAAGAGAGCAAUAUGGACUACAUAAAGACCAAGAAAAAUCCAUAAUCAAACAUCGUUAACCCCACACUGGAGUGCUAUUUAAAGGAAAGACUAAAAGAAAAGGAAGGAACUCGGCAAACACAAGCCUCGCCUGUUUACCAAAAACAUCGCCUCCUGCAACACAACCAAGUAUAAGAGGUCCAGCCUGCCCAGUGACUACAAGUUCAACGGCCGCGGUAUUUUGACCGUGCAAAGGUAGCGCAAUCACUUGUCUUUUAAAUAAAGACCUGUAUGAAUGGCUAAACGAGGGCUUAACUGUCUCCCCUUUCAAGUCAGUGAAAUUGAUUUACCCGUGCAGAAGCGGG